CCUACGGGAGGCAGCAGUGGGGAAUAUUGGACAAUGGGCGAAAGCCUGAUCCAGCAAUUCCGCGUGUGUGAAGAAGGCCUUCGGGUUGUAAAGCACUUUAGUGGGGAAGAAACAGCUUGGCCACACCAAGCCUUGACGGUACCCCAAGAAUAAGCACCGGCUAACUCUGUGCCAGCAGCCGCGGUAAUACAGAGGGUGCAAGCGUUAAUCGGAUUUACUGGGCGUAAAGGGUGCGUAGGUGGCUAUUUAAGUCGGAUGUGAAAGCCCGGGGCUCAACCUCGGAAUUGCAUUCGAUACUGAGUGGCUAGAGUUCGGUAGAGGGCGGCGGAAUUUCCGGUGUAGCGGUGAAAUGCGUAGAUAUCGGAAGGAACAUCAAUGGCGAAGGCAGCCGCCUGGGCCUGGACUGACACUGAGGCACGAAAGCGUGGGUAGCAAACAGGAUUAGAUACCCCGGUAGUCCACGCCGUAAACGAUGAGAACUUGACGUUGGUUCGUUUUACGAAUCGGUGUCGCAGCUACGACGAUAGUUACGUCCGUCCGUCGGGUAGGUACGGCCGCGAGUAGUAACGUAAAGUAAGUAGACGCGNGAGACGUCGCGACGACGACGACGAGGGAGGAGG
rnacentral:rRNA from 1 species